GUGAGGAAUUUUCCGCAAUGGGCGAAAGCCUGACGGAGCAAUGCCGCGUGAAGGAUGAAGGCCUAUGGGUUGUAAACUUCUUUUCUCAGAAAAGAAUUAUGACGGUAUCUGAGGAAUAAGCAUCGGCUAACUCUGUGCCAGCAGCCGCGGUAAGACAGAGGAUGCAAGCGUUAUCCGGAAUGAUUGGGCGUAAAGCGUCUGUAGGUUGUUUAAAAAGUAUUCUGUCAAAGAUUAGGGCUUAACCCUAGAUAGGCAGAAUAAACUUUUAAGCUAGAGUUUGGUAGAGGCAGAGGGAAUUCCCGGUGGAGCGGUGAAAUGCGUAGAUAUCGGGAGGAACACCAAAGGCGAAGGCACUCUGCUGGGCCAAUACUAACACUGAGAGACGAAAGCGAGGGGAGCAAAUGGGAUUAGAAAACCGAGUAGUCC
rnacentral:rRNA from 1 species